rnacentral:rRNA from 1 species
AGUCGUACAAGGGUUUUCCGAAAGGGUGAAACCUGCCGGAGGGGAAUCAUUAUAUCC